AAAGUAUUCCAUUUUAUCAGAUGCCCCUGAAGGAACGAUACAGAGAAGAUUAGCAUGGCCCCUGCGCAAGAAAGAAAAAAAAAAAAAAAAGUAUUCCAUUGACAU